rnacentral:misc_RNA from 1 species
UUUUUUUUUUUUUUUAAUCAAAAUAAUGGUAAUAAGAAAAGAAAAUUUGCAAAUGAAACUCAGAGAUGCAUAUUCCAUAAGUGGAGAUUGCAGACAAUCUACAUGGCAUCAGUUUCUGACCGCCCGUCUGCUUUUUCUCAUCAUUGUAAACACAUCAACUUCAAAUUUCUUAAUUCAACAAGAACAGCAUAAAAAUUUUUGCUGAGAUUAACAAGGCAUCAGAUAAUAAGCGGAGUUUGUGCUCAACACAACAAUUCAGUGUGUAGGAUAAGAACUUAUUCAUCACUUGCCACCAUCCAAAUCAUAAACUUUUAUGAGCAGUUGCGUGUGUACUUGGGGAAAAAUAAUGAAGAGAAUUUGGGUAAGUCCAUUUAACACCAAGGCGAUAUCAAAGAUGCAAAGGGCUGGUAAGCCAACCUUUUCGCUGUCUGCAUCCGUUAUAACUCCUUUAGCAUUGAAAUUUGCCAAAUAAGGAGUUGGUAAACAGAUGCAAGUUUCAAUUCUCUAAUUCCUCCCUCAAAAAUCUAUAAGAAACGAAAAGAUUCAGUGAGAAAUUGAACCAAACUUUAGAGCACGAUCACUGUCCUCAUUACCAAGGAAAUAAUAAAUCCAUGAAAUGAAUCUCUGUUGAAAGCGAAAUUCGACUGUAGCUGAGUGAGCUACAAAGCGAGGACGGCCAGACGAAGAGUGAAACUGAGCUCAGGGGGUAGGAUUAAAUAAGG